CUCUUAGUGGGAUAUGUGGCUAUAUGAGAUAUAGACACCUAGCCCACUAAGUUCCACUAAUUGUUAGUGGAACAUUAGGUGUUGAGAUUUGGCAAAUGAAUUGCAUGCAUUUUUGCAUGUAAUUAGGUUAUAAAUAGAGGUGUUUUCAAAUGUUGAAGAACUUUUGCCUCUUUUAUCAUUUUCAUCAUCUCAACAAAAGAAAAAAAAACCUUCCAAUCCCAUUUUAUCUCCAUUACUUUCUACACCAAAAUUGGGUCCCACAACCCGGUUCUUUGUCUAGAGGAUAGCAGUUGAGUACUAGUGGUGGUCUCGGUUAGAAUUGGUAAGAAGAUAUCAAACCUUUUGAAAGCUUCAAAGGUAAUAUUUCUUAAAACCCUAAUUUGAUUAGUUUAUGGUUACAUGUUAAUUGUGGCAAUUAUGGUAGAAAUUCGAUUCUUUUUCCGCUGUGCAUGACUUAGUUCUAUCAAAAAGGUGCAUUGUUGGAUAUCUCAUCCCAUCUCGUGGUUGAUGUUGAUGAGAUAUCCAACAAUGAAUCCUUCGUAUAGAAUGAGCAGCAUAUUAACAUCAAUCAUUCGUAUAGAGAAUUAGUUGUCUUGUAUAAUAAAUUAAGGGCAAAAUGAUACGUUUCUUUAUUUAUUUCAUGAUAGUUGGUUUUGCAACUAAUGUAACUGUGGUCUAUCACUAAUAGUAUUUAAAUAUAGAUCUCAUUAAUUGACAACAUCUUAUUCUUUUUCUUUUUUACAUUCCUUGUGCUUGCUACAUAGUAAAAUUUUAUGUGACUGUUUGCUAUAUUUAUGUUGUACUCUCUUUAAGCGAGUUAUACUCUCUUGCACUAUGAUGUAUGCUUAUAUUCAUGUUGUCUUUGUAGGUUCAACUGGAGCUGACAACUUCAUGAGUAUUCCUUCAAAGAAGUUUAUCUAGACCAUCAAAAUACAUUGGCUAGCAUGGUUCAAGCAACAAAGAAUAUUUUCAGAGAUGAAGACUUACCGGUUGGUUGUUUAUGUUUGUGUAGAAAAUCAUGUUAUAUGUAUUCUGAUGGAAUUUACACUGGUUUUGAUUAAGGGCUGAAAUUUCAUACUUGUAGCCAACAUGAGCUUAGCUCAACCGACACCUGUAUCUUCCUGUGGACAAGAGAUCUCAGGUCCAAAUCCCUACCCAGCAUUUAUUAUAAUCGACAAUAUUAAAACAAUGACAAUUUUUUUAUAAAAAAGCUGUCACAAUUGGCCUAUUGUCAUUUGAUUUUAUAAAACUAAUUGUCAUGACAUAUCCUUGACAUUUAAAUUUUUUCAUAAUAAACGAAUUUGCGACAUUUUUUUAACUGUCGUUAAUGUAGAUACCGUAUUUUGUCCCGCCUUUUUAUUUUUUUCAUUUAAAGUUUUCCAUCCCUAUUUUUUCUCAACCAUCCCCUACUUUUGUUUUUUUCUUCCUCGUCACGCUUUGUUUUUCCACGCUCCCACCUUCUUCCCUUUUUUCUUCACUCCACUUCACUAUCUAAAACUACUCCACUUCACUGUCUAAAGAAAAGAGACAUUGCCCUAUAAAAAGGGAAGAAGAAGUUUUGGGGGGAAAGAACCUUUUGCAUUUAAGGCAUAUAUGUUGGUAAGUUUUUUUUUUUUUUUUCUGUAUUCAUACUUGAUGAUACUGAGUUAAUUAUUUGGCACCCACAUGAGUGUUGUCUUAAUUAGACAUUUAAAUCACUCAUUAAUUAGUUGUUGUGUUAAUCAUUGACUUUUCUAGUAUUAAGUUAUGUAUAUACCUAUUAUUGUUGUUUCAUUUUGUCUGAUAAUUUGCUAGGCUCCAAAAAUCAAUGACUUCAUCACCUUCAACAAAUAAAGGUUCACAAAGUCCAAAUAUGAGUACCAACUCCAAUUGUAAACCCAAUUUCAAGUCCAACCCACACUCAACACCACUUUAAAACCAAAUUUCAACUUCAUGCUCUUCAAUUGAUGACAAUUUGAUUGUUGAUUAUUAUGUUGUUGUUGGUGAAAGUAUUGGAAUGAUCUUUAAAGAAGAUAUUGACAUUGGUUGUCUUGAGAUCACCCCCAAGUUGUAAACUCGGGGUAAAGUUCCUUCAAUACCGGGACAACUUUGUUAUGAGUUUCAAAAUUAGGGUGAUACAUUUAGGUUUAAUAAGUAGGAAUAUCUAAGUUUUAUGGCAUGUUUACUUGAGUUGUUUAUUUCAUUUCUAUUCUUUUUUCGUUUUGACAUCUUUAAGAAUAUUUAUACGUAUGUAUAUAAAUUGACAUCUCUAGCUAAGAAUAUCUAGAUUCUCUUAAUUUAUGUUUUUU
rnacentral:lncRNA from 1 species